GACGGGGGGGGCAAGUGUUCUUCGGAAUGACUGGGCGUAAAGGGCACGUAGGCGGUGAAUCGGUUGAAAGUGAAAGUCGCCAAAAAGUGGCGGAAUGCUCUCGUAAACCAAUUCACUUGAGUGAGACAGAGGAGAGUGGAAUUUCGUGUGUAGGGGUGAAAUCCGUAGAUCUACGAAGGAACGCCAAAAGCGAAGGCGAGCUCUCUGGGUCCCUACCGACGCUGGGGUGCGAAAGCAUGGGGAGCGAACAGG
rnacentral:rRNA from 1 species